AGCUCCAAUAGCGUAUAUUAAAGUUGUUGCAGUUAAAAAGCUCGUAGUUGGAUUUCUGGUUUCGCUUGCGACGGUCCGGCGUUAUUCGUCAGUGUACUGUCAGCUCGCAGCCAUCCUUCUGGGGAGUGUGCCUACCCUUCACUGGGCGGGGUUCACGACCUGGAUCGUUUACUUUGAAAAAAUUAGAGUGUUUAAAGCAGGCGUUAUAGCUCUGAAUACAUUAGCAUGGAAUAAUAAGAUAGGACUCUGGCCCUAUUUUGUUGGUUUCUAGGACGAGAGUAAUGAUUGAUAGGGACAGUUGGGGGUGCUCGUAUUGUACGGCCAGAGGUGAAAUUCUUGGAUUCGUGCAAGACGAACUACUGCGAAAGCAUUCGCCAAGGAUGUCUUCUUUAAUCAAGAA
rnacentral:rRNA from 1 species